GACGAACGCUGGCGGCGUGCCUAAUACAUGCAAGUAGAACGCACAGUUUAUACCGUAGCUUGCUACACCAUAGACUGUGAGUUGCGAACGGGUGAGUAACGCGUAGGUAACCUGCCUGGUAGCGGGGGAUAACUAUUGGAAACGAUAGCUAAUACCGCAUAAUAUUAAUUAUUGCAUGAUAAUUAAUUGAAAGGUGCAAUUGCACCACUACCAGAUGGACCUGCGUUGUAUUAGCUAGUAGGUAAGGUAACGGCUCACCUAGGCGACGAUACAUAGCCGACCUGAGAGGGUGAUCGGCCACACUGGGACUGAGACACGGCCCAGACUCCUACGGGAGGCAGCAGUAGGGAAUCUUCGGCAAUAGACGAAAGUCUGACCGAGCAACGCCGCGUGAGUGAAGAAGGUUUUCGGAUCGUAAAGCUCUGUUGUAAGAGAAGAACGGGUGUGAGAGUGGAAAGUUCACACUGUGACGGUAUCUUACCAGAAAGGGACGGCUAACUACGUG
rnacentral:rRNA from 1 species